AUUGCACGAUUUGUGACAAGCCCAGCUUUCUCCUUUUCCUUUCUCUCACACAAAUUGAAGUUCUCGGUCAUUUGAUGUCCACCUCCCAUGGAGUUUUGGCCCCAAAAUUGGAGAUUUGGAAGCACGAAAACUCAUCUAGAGUUAACUUAACAUUGUUGGCAUAGAUAUCAUGCUUUUUGGGCACUCUCGGCUAAAAGGAAAGGAAGCUUACCUCAACAAUUUAUUGUUCUGUAAAUCAACUUGAUGCAGGUUGAUUAUUGAAGCUCAGAAGCUAGAGUCUCCUACAAUUAUGGUUGAUAUAUCAGGUUGUUACGGCAUUAUUAAUGCUUGCAUUGGUACGACAUCAUCAGAUGAAGCACAUGUUACUUUUGAUGAAAAGAAUGCUCAAGGAAUUAUUUUGGGGUCUUAUGUUCAUGUGCCAAUAUUGAAGGCUUGUUGCAAUGAGCAUAAAAUAGCUUAAACAAUUCAAAUGCUUAUGCAGAUUAGUAACUCAGAGCUUAAGAUGGACACGGAUUUGGCACUAAUUAGCGAGUAUGUUUCUAAGGACAUAUCCCUUCAUGUCUUAUUACAAUGGCAUAAGUUGAAGAGGAACAGUUUAGUUGAUGGAGAGAAGGGGCUUAUAUUUGUUGACAACAUGGUUGAUGCAUUCCACUAUGCUCUUGUGAAGGGAGAUAGGCAUCCUCCAUUACUCUUACCUUAACUUAUUGUGUUUGUUAUGGGAGAAGCAUCGACAAGUUUGGAGUUGUUGUAACAUGAGUAUCAUAUUGAUCUAGUAGAUCUCGUGGCUGUCAUUGCAAUUGCAUUUACUCAAUUGCAUUUGUCACAUGAAGUUGCUGAUACAUACAAAGACUUGAAUAUGAUGACAGGGCACAAGCAAGAUGUUGGUGAGUACCUUACAUGGACCUUUGUGCACAGUAAGCUCCCUCACAAUCCCAACUCUCAUAAUCUUCAAUGACUUACUCAGAGCAUUCUUUGGUUCACCUUUCAGAGCUUGUUGUACAUACACUGAGCAACUUGGAGACAAGCAAAUGUGUUUCUACAGGGGAUACACAUAGAGCUUUCAAAUAUAAAACAUUACCUUAUUGUGAUGGGAUUAUGAUACAGCUCCUCAAGAAAUUGUCAAGCAAUCAGUAUUCAUGGCAUUAUUCAUGGUUUAGAUGACAGGUUGUGGGAAGGAAUGAAAUUUGUACAUGACUGUCGUAUUAUAAAUCCAACAGCUAUUAGAUGAAUUUUGUCAAUUGUUCCAUACCAAUGAAUUCAGUUUUAUCCCCUUGUUGGUGUUUCUGUAAAGUUACAAGUUGAAACUAACUAAAUCCUUCCAGCUGCAAUUGUGUAUAUAGAUAACAUAUGUACUACUGGAGUUGGGUAUAUGAAUUGUACACUUAAUCAAAGGCAUUGUGUAUACAAUACUUCACUUAUUUC